AUCCCUGCAGCGCAAUUGAAAGCGCUUUGGACUUCUAAUCGAAAGGGCGUGGGUUCGAAUCCCAUAUGGGAUG